UACGUAGGUGGCAAGCGUUGUUCGGAUUCAUUGGGCGUAAAGGGUGUGUAGGUGGCGCGCUAAGUCGGGUGUGAAAUUUCGGAGCUUAACUCCGAAACUGCAUUCGAUACUGCCGUGCUUGAGGACUGGAGAGGAGACUGGAAUUAUCGGUGUAGCGGUGAAAUGCGCAGAUAUCAGGAAGAACACCCGUGGCUAAGGCGGCUCUCUAGUACGGUACUGACGCUGAGACGCGAAAGCGUGGGGAGCGAACAGG
rnacentral:rRNA from 1 species